UAUUCUUUAUUUUGUUUAGGGUUUAAGAUAAUAUAAUUUUAUUUUGAUUGUUAUAUCUAAAAUUUUACCUGUGAUAUACCGUCUCGUAUUACUAUUCACUCAAACCCGUCCUACCAUCUAAUCUCGUUCAGUGAAAUUAAACAAUCUAAUUAAUUUCACCUGUAGUAUAUUCUCUCGUAUUACUAUCGACCCAAACCUGUCAUACCAUUUAACCCCCGUUCAAUGAAAUUAAACAUUAUUUUGUUAUUUUUCUUUUAAUAAUAUUUUAAUUUAAAAGAUAUAUAAUUCAAAUCAAUCUAAAAAUAUAUAAUUCAAAAUUCUCAUAUUAUAGACAUGUGAAUGAAACCGUGCAAAUUU
rnacentral:sRNA from 1 species